GCCAAUGUAGCUCAGAGGCAGAGCACUUUCUUGGUAAGAAAGUGGUCACGGGUUCAAUUCCCGUCAUUGGCU
rnacentral:tRNA from 1 species